CCUACGGGAGGCAGCAGUGGGUGAUAUUGCACAAUGGGGGAAACCCUGAUGCAGCGACGCCGCGUGGGUCAAGAAACGCCUCGGCGCGUAAAGCCCUGUCAGCAGGGAAGAAAAUGACGGUACCUGAAGAAGAAGCCCCGGCUAACUACGUGCCAGCAGCCGCGGUAAUACGUAGGGGGCAAGCGUUAUCCGGAUUUACUGGGUGUAAAGGGGGCGCAGACGGCGAUGCAAGCCAGGAGUGAAAGCCCGGGGCCCAACCCCGGGACUGCUCUUGGAACUGCGUGGCUAGAGUGCAGGAGGGGCAGGCGGAAUUCCUGGUGUAGCGGUGAAAUGCGUAGAUAUCAGGAGGAACACCGGUGGCGAAGGCGGCCUGCUGGACUGCAACUGACGUUGAGGCCCGAAAGCGUGGGGAGCAAACAGGAUUAGAUACCCCUGUAGUC
rnacentral:rRNA from 1 species